GUCCACGCCGUAAACGAUGGAUACUAGCUGUUCGGAGCAAUCUGAGUGGCUAAGCGAAAGUGAUAAGUAUCCCACCUGGGGAGUACGUUCGCAAGAAUGAAACUCAAAGGAAUUGACGGGGGCCCCGCACAAGCGGUGGAGCAUGUGGUUUAAUUCGAUGAUACGCGAGGAACCUUACCAAGGCUUAAAUGGGGAUUGACCGAUUUGGAAACAGAUCUUUCGCAAGACAAUCUUCAAGGUGCUGCAUGGUUGUCGU
rnacentral:rRNA from 1 species